rnacentral:rRNA from 1 species
GUGUCAGCCGCCGCGGUAAUACGUAGGGGGCAAGCGUUGUCCGGAAUCAUUGGGCGUAAAGCGCGUGUAGGCGGUUUGGUAAGUCUGCUGUGAAAGUCCGGGGCUCAACCCCGGAAAGCCGGUGGAUACUGUCGAACUAGAGUGCGGAAGAGGCGAGUGGAAUUCCUGGUGUAGCGGUGAAAUGCGCAGAUAUCAGGAGGAACACCAAUUGCGAAGGCAGCUCGCUGGGACGUUACUGACGCUGAGACGCGAAAGCGUGGGGAGCAAACAGGAUUAGAUACCCUCGUAGUCC